GGCCUUGAAGCAAUCUACGAAUUGGAGCUCUAACCCUUUCCCUUGAGCACCAGCCCGAUGUACCGCAUGGCGGCCCCGGUCUUGCCUUCGGCCUGCCACUGCUUUUCGAUGGUGCAGUUCAUCCGGCGCGCGAGGCCUGCGAUGGCCUUCGCGAUCACCGCGUCCUGUUUCUUGCUCAGUCCUACGAUGCCGGUUUUCAACCCUGUCAGCAGGCCAAUGGCUUCUGGGAUGAUGUUCGACUUGUA
rnacentral:misc_RNA from 1 species